rnacentral:rRNA from 1 species
GAUGAACGCUAGCUACAGGCUUAACACAUGCAAGUCGAGGGGAAACGAUAGAGAAAGCUUGCUUUUUCUAGGCGUCGACCGGCGCACGGGUGAGUAACGCGUAUCCAACCUGCCCACCACUUGGGGAUAACCUUGCGAAAGUAAGACUAAUACCCAAUGAUAUCUCAAGAAGACAUCUGAAUGAGAUUAAAGAUUUAUCGGUGAUGGAUGGGGAUGCGUCUGAUUAGCUUGUUGGCGGGGUAACGGCCCACCAAGGCGACGAUCAGUAGGGGUUCUGAGAGGAAGGUCCCCCACAUUGGAACUGGGACACGGUCCAAACUCCUACGGGAGGCAGCAGUGAGGAAUAUUGGUCAAUGGGCGAGAGCCUGAACCAGCCAAGUAGCGUGCAGGAUGACGGCCCUAUGGGUUGUAAACUGCUUUUAUAAGGGAAUAAAGUGAGUCUCGUGAGACUUUUUGCAUGUACCUUAUGAAUAAGGACCGGCUAAUUCCGUGCCAGCCGCCGCAGUAA